AUACGUAGGUGGCAAGCGUUGUCCGGAUUUACUGGGUGUAAAGGGCGUGUAGGCGGAGAUGCAAGUCAGGAGUGAAAUCUAGGGGCUCAACCCCUAAACUGCUUUUGAAACUGUAUCCCUUGAGUAUCGGAGAGGCAGGCGGGAUUUCCUGUGUAGCGGUGGAAAGCGUAGAUAUUAGGAGGAACACCAGUGGCGAAGGCGGCCUGCUGGACGACAACUGACGCUGAGGCGCGAAAGCGUGGGGAGCAAACAGGAUUAGAUGCCCUGGUAGUCCACGCUGUAAACGAUGAAUACUAGGUGUGGGGGGACUGACCCCCUCCGUGCCGCAGUUAACACAAUAAGUAUUCCACCUGGGGAGUACGAUCGCAAGAUUGAAACUCAAAGGAAUUGACGGGG
rnacentral:rRNA from 1 species